GACGAACGCUGGCGGCGUGCUUAACACAUGCAAGUCGAACGGAAAGGCCCUGCUUUUGUGGGGUGCUCGAGUGUCUAACUGGUGAGUAACACGUGAGUAACCUGCCCUUGACUUUGGGAUAACUUCAGGAAACUGGGGCUACUACCGGAUCGGAGCUCCUGCUGCAUUGUGGGGUUUGGAAAGUUUCGGCGGUUGGGGAUGGACUCGCGGCUUAUCAGCUUGUUGGUGGGGUAGUGGCUUACCAAGGCUUUGACGGGUAGCCGGACUGAGAGGGUGACCGGACACAUUGGGACUGAGAUACGGCCCAGACGCCUACGGGAGGCAGCAGUGGGGAAUAUUGCACAAUGGGCGGAAGCCUGAUGCAGCAAAGCCGCGUGCGGGAUGACGGCAUUCGGGUUGUAAACCGCUUUCGCCUGUGACGAAGAGUGAGUGACGGUAAUGGGUAAAGAAGCACCGGCUAACUACGUG
rnacentral:rRNA from 1 species